rnacentral:rRNA from 1 species
GGGUCAGUAGGUUGGUCGUGCCACCGGUACGUACUGGUCUCACUGAUUCCUCCUUCCUGAAGAACCGUAAUGCCGUUAAUUUGGUGGUGCGGGGAAACAGGACUGUUACUUUGAAAAGAUUAGAGUGUUUAAAGCAAGCUAACGCUUGAAUACAUUAGCAUGGAAUAAUGAAAUAGGACGAUCGAUCCUAUUUUGUUGGUUUCUAGGAUUGACGUA